GAGAAAUGAGGAUAACUUAAUGUGUCUGACAUAUGCUGUAGACCAAAAGAUCCAACUCUGAUCUCGCUUGAAGC